GCCGGGGUGGCGAAAUUGGCAGACGCACUUGCCUUAGGAGCAAGCACCGCAAGGUAUGCAGGUUCAAGUCCUGUCCCCGGCA
rnacentral:tRNA from 4 species